rnacentral:sRNA from 1 species
GCUGGGUGUGGUGGGGCAUGCCUGUAAUCCCAGAGACUCAGGAAGCUGAGGCAGGAGGAUUGCAAGUUUGAGACCAGCCUCAGCAACUUAGUGAGGACCUAAGUAACUUGGCAAGACCCUAUCUCAA